GCAGAACUCGCGCUGUUUUUUCAACUGCUGCUGCACCAAUGGACAUUACUUGAAUGAAAUGUUGGUUACAAAUCUCCACUUUUGGCUCGAACUUAAAAUAUUACUUCGACUCCCGCAGAUCAGCCAGAAUCCGCAUCACAUACACGGACAACACAGUGGACACAGGGUGUUAUUUAUGAGGCCCAUAAAGUAAGGAGACGACGACGAAGAAGAAGAUGGCAAAGUGCACAAAAUGAAAACGCAAGCAGCAAAAUGCAUGCACACAUACAUACAUAUAGAAUAGACAAGACGACGACUGCGACAAUGCCCCAAACAUCCCAUUAACAACAUUACAGAGGGGCAGGCAGAGUGCGGCAGGAGCCAGAAACGGAGCCGGACAAGGAAGCAGUCGAUAUGGCCAUGGGCCAACAGAGACCGCAGACCGUAGACCGUAGACCGAAGACCAACAAAUGGCAAGGCAUUAAAAGUACUUAAA
rnacentral:lncRNA from 1 species